GACGAACGCUGGCGGCGUGCCUAAUACAUGCAAGUCGAGCGCAGGAAGCUGACGGAACUCUUCGGAGGGAAGGCAGUGGAAUGAGCGGCGGACGGGUGAGUAACACGUAAGGAACCUGCCUCAAGGAUUGGGAUAACUCCGAGAAAUCGGAGCUAAUACCGGAUAGUUCAACGGACCGCAUGGUCCGCUGAUGAAAGGCGCUCCGGCGUCACCUUGAGAUGGCCUUGCGAUGCAUUAGCUAGUUGGUGGGGUAACGGCCCACCAAGGCGACGAUGCAUAGCCGACCUGAGAGGGUGAUCGGCCACACUGGGACUGAGACACGGCCCAGACUCCUACGGGAGGCAGCAGUAGGGAAUCUUCCACAAUGGACGAAAGUCUGAUGGAGCAACGCCGCGUGAGUGAUGAAGGUUUUCGGAUCGUAAAACUCUGUUGUAAGGGAAGAACACGUACGAGAGGGAAUGCUCGUACCUUGACGGUACCUUACGAGAAAGCCACGGCUAACUACGUGCCAGCAGCCGCAGUAACAC
rnacentral:rRNA from 1 species